rnacentral:rRNA from 1 species
UACGGAGGGUGCGAGCGUUGUCCGGAAUCACUGGGCGUAAAGGGCGCGUAGGCGGCCUGGUAAGUAGGGGGUGAAAUCCUGCGGCUUAACCGCAGGGCUGCCUUCUAAACUGUCAGGCUCGAGCACGGUAGAGGCAGAUGGAAUUCCCGGUGUAGCGGUGGAAUGCGUAGAGAUCGGGAAGAACACCGGUGGCGAAAGCGCUCUGCUGGACCACAACUGACACUCACAGGACGAAAGCUAGGGGAGCGAAUGGG